rnacentral:pre_miRNA from 1 species
UAUUAAAAAUUUCAUCUUUGUACCGUUGAAAACUGAUAUGGUUGAUGAAAUAAUAGGACAAUGACAUGUGGCUUGCCACGCAUACCUCAUACUACCAUAUAAGGACCAAUUUUUAAUAGUAGUUUUAAAUGAGAUUUUUAACA